GCUUGUCUCAAAGAUUAAGCCAUGCAUGUCUUAGUGUAAAUAACUCUUAUGAAACUGCGAAUGGCUCAUUAAAUCAGUUAUCAAAUACGUGAUGGUCGCCUACUACAUGGAUAACCGUAGUAAUUCUAGAGCUAAUACAUGCGCCAAGUCCCGUCUUACGUCGGGAUGUAUUUAUUAGAUUUCAAUCAACACUUUUUGCUGACUCAUGAUAACUUAGCGGAUCGCAGAGGCCUCGCGCCGGCGACAAAUCAUUCAAGUUUCUGCCCUAUCAGCUUUCGAUGGUAGUGUAUUGGACUACCAUGGCAUUCACGGGUAACGGAGGAUUAGGGUUCGAUUCCGGAGAGGGAGCCUGAGAAAUGGCUACCACAUCCAAGGAAGGCAGCAGG
rnacentral:rRNA from 1 species